rnacentral:misc_RNA from 1 species
AUGCGAUAAGUAAUGUGAAUUGCAGAAUUCAGUGAAUCAUCGAAUCUUUGAACGCACAUUGCGCCCCCUGGUAUUCCGGGGGGCAUGCCUGUUCGAGCGUCAUUUCACCACUCAAGCCUCGCUUGGUAUUGGGCAACGCGGUCCGCCGCGUGCCUCAAAUCGACCGGCUGGGUCUUCUGUCCCCUAAGCGUUGUGGAAACUAUUCGCUAAAGGGUGUUCGGGAGGCUACGCCGUAAAACAACCCCAUUUCUAAGGUUGACCUCGGAUCAGGUAGGGAUACCCGCUGAACUUAA